ACAGAGGUCCCAAGCGUUGUUCGGAUUCACUGGGCGUAAAGGGUGCGUAGGUGGUGAGGUAAGUCGGAUGUGAAAGCUCGGAGCUCAACUCCGAAAUGGCAUUGGAAACUACCUUGCUAGAGGAUCGGAGGGGGGACUGGAAUACUUGGUGUAGCAGUGAAAUGCGUAGAUAUCAAGUGGAACACCAGUGGCGAAGGCGAGUCCCUGGACGAUACCUGACACUGAGGCACGAAAGCUAGGGGAGCAAACAGGA
rnacentral:rRNA from 1 species